rnacentral:rRNA from 1 species
AGACCCGAAACCCGGUGAUCUAGCCAUGGGCAGGUUGAAGGUUGGGUAACACUAACUGGAGGACCGAACCGACUAAUGUUGAAAAAUUAGCGGAUGACCUGUGGCUGGGGGUGAAAGGCCAAUCAAACCGGGAGAUAGCUGGUUCUCCCCGAAAGCUAUUUAGGUAGCGCCUCGUGAAUUCAUCUCCGGGGGUAGAGCACUGUUUCGGCUAGGGGGCCAUCCCGGCUUACCAACCCGAUGCAAACUGCGAAUACCGGAGAAUGUUAUCACGGGAGACACACGGCGGGUGCUAACGUCCGUCGUGAAGAGGGAAACAACCCAGACCGCCAGCUAAGGUCCCAAAGUCAUGGUUAAGUGGGAAACGAUGUGGGAAGGCCCAGACAGCCAGGAUGUUGGCUUAGAAGCAGCCAUCAUUUAAAGAAAGCGUAAUAGCUCACUGGUCGAGUCGGCCUGCGCGGAAGAUGUAACGGGGCUAAACCAUGCACCGAAGCUGCGGCAGCGACGCUUAUGCGUUGUUGGGUAGGGGAGCGUUCUGUAAGCCUGUGAAGGUG